rnacentral:tRNA from 1 species
GGGCCGAUGGGGUAGCUUGGUAUCCUUCGAGGAUCGGGUCCUCGGUACCUCGGUUCAAAUCCGAGUCGGCCCA